rnacentral:rRNA from 1 species
UGAGAGUAAAAGUGGUACCAAGGUUUCGUUAGGUGAACCUGCGGAAGGAUCAUUAUUGAAUACGUUGGUUCUGAUGCUGGCUCUUCACUGAGCAUGUGCUCGUUCCAUACUAUUUAUCUUCUCUUGUGCACCUUUUGUAGUCUUUGAAAAGCAAAGUGAACUCUCUCGCAGCAAUGCGGUUUGGGGGACUGGGUGCAAGCCCUUCUCCUGCCUUGCUUUUGCUUUUUCAAAGGCUAUGUUUUCAUAUACACUAUAAAGUUACAGAAUGUCUUUUAAAGAUUGUGCUAGUCGCAGUCAUUAAACCUAUACAACUUUCAGCAACGGAUCUCUUGGCUCUCCCAUCGAUGAAGAACGCAGCGAAAUGCGAUAAGUAAUGUGAAUUGCAGAAUUCAGUGAAUCAUCGAAUCUUUGAACGCACCUUGCGCCCUUUGGUAUUCCGAAGGGCAUGCCUGUUUGAGUGUCAUUAAAUUAUCAACCCAAAAAGUUUUUAUUAGCUUUUUGUGGCUUGGAUGUGGGGGUUUUUGCUGGCUUCCUUCAGUGGAUGGUCUGCUCCCCUUAAAUGCAUUAGCGGGAUCUCUUGUGGACCGUCACUUGGUGUGAUAAUUAUCUAUACCACGUUGACUUUGAAGCAAAACUUAUGGGAACCCGCUCAUAACCGUCUUCGGACAACUCUUGACAUUUUGACCUCAAAUCAGGUAGGA